GAGACAGCAAGCAGGAGCGCAGUGCGCCCUAGCUUGGGAGGCAACACGGGACACCCCCGUCGUGUCUUUAGUUCCCCAGACAGCCCCCCUGCUUUGCAUGAAGGAGACCUCGGGGGCCCCAGCUGGCCAGAGCAGGGCACCUGGGCAUCGCAGCACUCGCUACAGCCGCCGGGGCCGGGGCCGGGGCCGCCUCCGCCACCGCCACCACCACCGCAGAAGCAGCCUCAGCAGCAGCGGCGGCCCCAACCGCUCCAACACCAUGCUCCAGCUGGGAAGACUGUUCCAUCUCCUGACUUUGAUGAAGUUGCCCUGUUGUUUGCUGGAGGUGCUCCUGGCCGCUGCCGCCGCGGCGCAAGGCCAAGAGAUGUAUGCCCCGCACUCCAUCCGGCUCGAGGGGGACAUCACCCUAGGAGGACUCUUCCCGGUGCAUGCCAAAGGUCCCACAGGCGUGCCAUGCGGGGACAUCAAGAAGGAGAACGGGAUCCACAGGCUGGAAGCGAUGCUCUACGCCCUGGACCAGAUCAACAGCGAUCCGGAGCUGUUACCCAAUGUCACGCUGGGCGCGCGGAUCCUGGACACUUGUUCCAGGGACACUUACGCGCUGGAGCAGUCGCUCACUUUCGUCCAGGCGCUCAUCCAAAAGGACACCUCCGACGUGCGCUGCACAAACGGCGAGCCGCCAGUCUUCGUGAAGCCGGAGAAAGUAGUGGGAGUGAUCGGGGCUUCUGGGAGUUCCGUGUCCAUCAUGGUAGCUAACAUCUUAAGGCUGUUUCAGAUCCCCCAGAUUAGUUAUGCCUCAACUGCACCUGAAUUAAGUGAUGACCGGAGGUACGAUUUCUUCUCUCGAGUGGUCCCACCAGACUCCUUUCAGGCCCAGGCCAUGGUCGAUAUUGUGAAAGCUUUGGGAUGGAAUUAUGUCUCUACUCUUGCAUCAGAAGGAAGUUAUGGAGAAAAAGGUGUUGAAUCCUUCACCCAGAUUUCCAAAGAGGCAGGUGGACUCUGCAUUGCUCAGUCAGUGAGAAUCCCUCAAGAACGGAAAGACAAGACAAUUGAUUUUGAUAGAAUUAUCAAACAGCUCUUGGAUACUCCCAACUCCAGGGCAGUGGUGAUUUUUGCCAACGAUGAGGAUAUAAAACAGAUCCUGGCAGCAGCCAAAAGAGCAGACCAAGUGGGACAUUUCCUAUGGGUUGGAUCAGACAGCUGGGGCUCUAAAGUGAACCCGUUACAUCAGCAUGAAGACAUAGCUGAAGGAGCCAUCACCAUUCAGCCGAAAAGAGCCACAGUAGAAGGUUUUGAUACAUACUUUACAUCACGUACACUGGAGAACAACAGAAGAAAUGUGUGGUUUGCAGAGUAUUGGGAGGAAAACUUCAACUGCAAAUUGACAAUUAGUGGGUCCAAAAAAGAAGACACAGAUCGAAAAUGCACAGGACAGGAGAGAAUUGGAAAGGAUUCCUAUUAUGAACAGGAGGGGAAAGUUCAGUUUGUGAUUGACUCUGUCUACGCCAUGGCUCAUGCCCUCCACCAUAUGAACAAGGAUCUCUGUGCCGAUUACCCUGGUGUCUGUCCAGAGAUGGAGCAGGCAGGGGGCAAGAAGUUACUGAAAUAUAUUCGCAGUGUUAAUUUUAACGGCAGUGCUGGCACUCCAGUGACAUUUAACAAAAAUGGGGAUGCACCUGGACGUUAUGACAUCUUUCAGUACCAGAUAACAAAUACCACUAAUCCGGGUUACCGCCUAAUUGGCCAAUGGACUGAUGAGCUGCAACUCAAUAUAGAUGAUAUGCAAUGGGGCAAAGGAGUACGAGAAAUCCCAUCAUCAGUGUGCACUUUACCUUGUAAACCUGGCCAAAGGAAAAAGACCCAGAAGGGAACGCCUUGCUGUUGGACCUGUGAGCCGUGUGAUGGAUAUCAGUACCAAUCUGAUGAGAUGACUUGUCAACACUGUCCUUAUGAUAAGCGACCAAAUGAGAACCGAACUGGCUGCCAGGAUAUCCCCAUUGUGAAACUUGAAUGGCACUCACCUUGGGCCGUUAUUCCUGUUUUCUUGGCAAUGCUUGGGAUUAUUGCCACAAUUUUUGUAAUGGCUACCUUUAUUCGUUACAAUGACACUCCAAUUGUCAGGGCCUCAGGAAGAGAGCUCAGCUAUGUCCUGCUGACAGGAAUCUUUCUUUGCUACAUCAUCACCUUCCUAAUGAUCGCCAAACCUGAUGUGGCUGUGUGCUCAUUCCGGCGAGUAUUCCUGGGCUUGGGCAUGUGUAUAAGCUAUGCUGCUCUCUUGACUAAAACAAACCGCAUAUAUCGUAUAUUUGAGCAAGGCAAGAAAUCAGUGACAGCCCCAAGGCUAAUAAGCCCAACAUCACAACUGGCCAUCACUUCCAGUUUAAUAUCUGUCCAACUUCUGGGUGUUUUCAUUUGGUUUGGAGUCGACCCCCCUAAUAUUAUCAUAGAUUACGAUGAACAUAAGACGAUAAACCCUGAUCAAGCCAGAGGAGUACUCAAAUGUGACAUUACAGACCUACAGAUAAUUUGUUCUUUGGGGUAUAGCAUCCUACUCAUGGUUACAUGCACUGUCUAUGCCAUCAAGACUCGGGGUGUCCCAGAGAAUUUUAAUGAAGCCAAACCCAUUGGAUUCACUAUGUAUACAACCUGUAUAGUAUGGCUUGCCUUCAUUCCAAUAUUUUUUGGCACUGCUCAGUCAGCUGAAAAGCUCUACAUACAAACUACCACACUUACAAUAUCCAUGAAUUUAAGUGCAUCAGUGGCGCUGGGGAUGCUAUACAUGCCGAAAGUGUACAUCAUCAUUUUCCAUCCUGAGCUGAAUGUCCAGAAAAGAAAACGCAGCUUCAAGGCGGUCGUCACAGCAGCUACCAUGUCAUCUCGGCUCUCACACAAACCUAGUGACAGGCCCAAUGGAGAAGCAAAAACAGAACUCUGUGAAAAUGUAGACCCAAAUAACUCCAUACCACCAGUAAGAAAAAGCGUACAAAAAUCUGUUACUUGGUACACUAUUCCACCUACAGUAUAGCUUUUGCCUGCUUUCCCAAAGGAAAGGAUCCAUUCAAUUUUACAUUAAUAUCAAUUAUCAUAAUUGAAGAAUGGAUUGAAGAUAUCAAAGCAGAUGCUACAAAAAUUAGAAAAAGAGAAAAGGAGGAAAAUAAUGUACAAUCUUAUUGGACAAAAGACUCUCACAUCCAGACUCUAUGGAAGCCAUCAAUGGGCAGUACCUAUUCUAGUUCCCAUCAUUGUUCCAUGUUAUUCUAUAUUCAAAUACAUGUCAUUCAUAUUUUUCAUUUAGUUCCAUGUAAUAUGAAAAUAAUUCUGACAAAAAAGAACUGUUUUUUAUUGAUGUCAUAGGCAUGUUACCUUUAAUUUCUGUUUUAUUGCUCUCAUAAGUUAUUUCCUUUUUUCAGAUCAUAAUGAUCUGCCCUAGUUUUUAAAUAGGACAUUGCUUUCCCAAUCUCCCUAUCCCCACUGAGGAAGUCCAGAGAGAUUUAAAGUUUUUUUUUGCAGAAUGAGAGCUUGUCAAAACACUGGCGUUCAUCACUUUAAUCGUCUUCUUACUCGACUGCUUGAAAAUAAAUGAGAAGGAAUUUUUUUCUUGUGUAAAAAUGAUAGAUUUAAUCUUAAGCCAUUAAAAAUUCUCUUUAGCUCUACUGCUAGUUGAUGGUUUUUUUUUUUUUUUUUUAUCUUAAGGGUAAAAGACUAAAAUACUUUAUAUCAAUCAUUAAGAAAGAAAUAUUACAUUGUGCCUUUUAGACACAAACUAAACUGUUUCUGGCAUCUCCUUUCAUAAAAAGUUUCCCAAGAUGAUUUUGUAGAACUUUGACACCUCCAUUGUUAAGUUCAAAAACAGGUGCUUGAAAAACAUUAUUUUCAUGUAUGAAAGAUCUGAAUAUAAGUUCAGUGAGAGAAUGUACUUCUGUUGCUCAAGACCAGACUUGCUACAUUUAGAGAGGGCCAUUGCCCAAAAAUUGACCAAAGAGUGGGAUGACCAAAGAUUAGGAUGAUGAUUUAUGAAAGACAAAAAUGAUAGAUUUAAUCUGAUUUGAAAUUAAAAUUCUAGUUAACUUACCACAUCUUCAUGUUUUCAUUGAUUUUAAGGGCUUAAGUCACAAAAACUAGCUAUGCAAGGUAAAGAAGAGCUUUGGUUUUCAUGGAAAGACAAUAUGAUACCAUUAAAAUCAUGGUAAUUUGAAUUAACUAUCGCACUGUCUUAUAUCAUUUUAAAAACAUUAUAAAUGAGAGUGUAGCCUGUUCUGGGUCAUUUGUAGAUUGUCAAAACAAAUGACCAUUUUUAGGCAGGUCAGUUAAUUAGUCAAGUAAGCUCAUUCUCUACUUAGAACAAAUUCCAUCUAGUGAAUACAUUCCACAAUAUUAAUCAUAAGCAAUAUCUUGACAUCAUGUAUAAAGAGCUAAUCUCAGAGCUAGGAAAACGUAUAUUCAAAUCAUGUCUCUGAUAAACACUGGCCUUUUAACCCUGGACAUGACAUAUAACCUUCCUAAUGUGCUAGGAAUAUCUCUUAAACGUAUAAUUUCAAAAACAUGUUGUCAUAUAAUGUGAUGACCACAUUAGCACCCUGAAUACCUUAGAAUCAUCCAGAAUCAGGAUAAGCAAAAGUCCUUGGUCUUUAUUCUUGGUCUUUAAAGGUAGAAGUGAAUUGGAUGGAUGCAGAAUCUCCACGACCUCCUUCUUUCUCGUCUACUGCCAAAGUGACCCUGGCUAGUCUUACUUCAUCCCCUAGUCCCUCCUACAAUUCUCUGUAUACACCAAUUAUCAAGCCAGCAAAGGAUAGUGGGAAGGACCAUUUUCCAAGCAUUUGCUUAUAGAGUAUUGUCCAAUUGGUAAUUAACCUUAAGUGCUCGGUUGUCCGAUCUCAGUGCAUCUACUGGAGUUUUAGCCCUUUAUAAUGUAGUAGUAGAAGGAAUUUUUUCAUCUAAGAGUUCUCUAUACCAAAGAAAUAAUCUAAUUCCAAUUGAAAAUAGUCAAAUAUAAACACUUUGAGCAUGAAUAAAGUUAAAUGUUGAUUUCAUUCCUGAUUCCUUUUUAUAUAAAAUGUAUAUAGUUAUCUACCAGUUCUUCUAUCAUACUUUCCGAAAUCCCAUAAUGCAUCAAAAUUAAAUUCAUCUUAUUUCAGUAUAUUUAUACUCAAUGAAUUAAACUUUUUCUCAAUGAAUAUUUCUUACUACUAGUCUUUUUAAAAAAACUUCCUUGUGUAAAUAAGGAAAAGUACCUAAAAGUCUGCUUAAAUACCCUGUAUCUUCUAGGUUAGGAGAAUAAAUUUUCCUAUGUAUUUCAUAAAAUAAUGUGAGAAUUGCCCUCACCUAAUCACUUUCUUCACUAAGCAUUAUUAAAUUACAUAUUUAAAUGUGGAAGAGAUCUCAGAGGCUAUUUAUAUCAAGUUCUUCAUUUUUUGUAGUUGAGAAAUCGAAAGGCCCAGGGAAAUUUUGUGACUUCUCCACUGAUACUUUGUCUCUUUUGAUUAGAAUGAGCAUUCAAAUUAUAGGUUCAAAUCUAAGAGUUUAAGGCCAUUCAAUACUCAAAUAGAUUUCUCAUUGCAUAGAUAUGGAUAUUACCUUGACUGAUUGAGAUUAGCAGACAGUUAAACCAUUUUAUAAAAGAAGGGGAAAAACUACUCCAUCAUCUAUAGUGUAUUAUAAAAUUAAUUUGUAAAAGGCAAUCAUAUUAUCAGACUUUAAAAAAAUCUAUUUUGGUGCAUUUUUCCUAAUAUGAUAUUUGGUAUUAGAAAAUCAAUGAAAUAUCAUUCAAGUAUAAUGCAGACUGCCUAGGCAAAUAUAAUAAGAUUGUGAUUUAUUCAUGCCCUUUAAACAGGUAUCAAAUGGAUUGAAUCCUCACGGGGAAUAGUAUAAAAUUUAUAAUAUUUUUCUUCUAAAUUGCAUAGCAUGAUACAUUUUCAACUGCAGAAUGGUGUCACCCUCACAUUUAAAUGGCUACAUUCUCUACUAAUAUCUAAUUGUAUAAUUUUAUAAUUGUUGCAUACAUUUUCUCUAAAAAGAAGCAAUCAGAGCUUAAUGACUUUUAAUCCAUGACAAUCAUAUCACUUUUAAACGAAUGUAUUUUUUUUAAGAUCCAUUUAUUCUUGUGACAUUUUUCUUCUAACAUCUAUGGGAAUAUCUUCUCAAUAAUGAAGCAAUGUUGUCUCUGUUUUGUUUCUGCCUACUAAAGACAUUACUCAACUUUGCAGAUCUUCUGUCGUACAGUGGAACUUGGAAACAUUUUUAAUUAUCUAUUCUCAAGGAUCCAAAGAGUAAUUUCGGGCUUGUCCAGUUCUUUAAGAAUGUGAACAGAUCUCAUCAAUGCAUGAUUUAGCUGAACUCUGACCAGAACUGCAGAAGAAGAAUAGCAUUCAAAGGAAGGCCAAAUUUUUAUUCAAUUUGCAUUUUAAUUUCCCCCCGGUUUAUCAAAGUCCAGCCAGUGACAUGAGCUGUUGUUUCUGUUCAGGCUGAAUGCACCCCAGUGAGGAUCAGCUCUGGAUGGAAAGUCAGGUUACUGUCAAAGAGCAUAUCUCCUCCACCUUUAGAAUGCUGGAAGAAGACAGAGAUUUACAUACUAUAAUAUUUCAUGAGGUUUCUUUCUUUCUUUUUUUUUUUUUUGUACCAGUUAUAUACUGUGAUUGUGAGCUAAAAUAAACUUUGGUUGUGUCAAACUA